AUUGAACGCUGGCGGCAUGCCUUACACAUGCAAGUCGAACGGUAACAGGUCUUCGGAUGCUGACGAGUGGCGAACGGGUGAGUAAUACAUCGGAACGUGCCUAGUAGUGGGGGAUAACUACUCGAAAGAGUGGCUAAUACCGCAUGAGAUCUACGGAUGAAAGCAGGGGAUCGCAAGACCUUGUGCUACUAGAGCGGCCGAUGGCAGAUUAGGUAGUUGGUGGGAUAAAAGCUUACCAAGCCGACGAUCUGUAGCUGGUCUGAGAGGACGAUCAGCCACACUGGGACUGAGACACGGCCCAGACUCCUACGGGGGGCAGUAGUGGGGAAUUUUGGACAAUGGGCGCAAGCCUGAUCCAGCAAUGCCGCGUGCAGGAUGAAGGCCUUCGGGUUGUAAACUGCUUUUGUACGGAACGAAAAGCCCUGGGUUAAUACCCUGGGGUCAUGACGGUACCGUAAGAAUAAGCACCGGCUAACUACGUGCCAGCCGCCGCGGUAAUAC
rnacentral:rRNA from 1 species